rnacentral:rRNA from 1 species
UACGGGGGGGGGGCAAGCGUUGUUCGGAAUUACUGGGCGUAAAGGGCGCGUAGGCGGCCGCCUAAGUCGGACGUGAAAUCCCUCGGCUUAACCGGGGAACUGCGUCCGAUACUGGGUGGCUCGAAUCCGGGAGAGGGAAGUGGAAUUCCAGGUGUAGCGGUGAAAAUGCGUAGAUAUCUGGAGGAACACCGGUGGCGAAGGCGACACACUGGCCCAUUACUGACGCUGAGGCUCGAAAAGCGUGGGGGAGCAAAACAGGGA